AGAACGUGGGGGCCCUGCCCUCCCAGGCGCGGGGUCCCGCAGCGCCAGGUCCGCGCCCUGGAGUCGGCGCCAGGUUCCCGCGAGGUCCUCAGGAGCCCUCAAGGUGGCCAGUGUGCAGCUCCCGGGCGACAGAGCACCCUGAAGAUGCAGGAUGGCAGCACGGCCGCCCGCCAGCCUCUCUUACCGUACCACCGGCUCCACCUGCCUGCACCCGCUCAGCCAGCUCCUGGGCAUCCCGCUGGAUCAGGUUAACUUUGUGGCUUGCCAGCUCUUUGCCUUGUCUGCUGCUUUCUGGUUCAGAAUCUACUUACAUCCUGGUAAAGCCAGCCCUGAGGUCCGGCACACCUUGGCCACCAUUUUGGGCAUCUAUUUUGUUGUGUUUUGUUUUGGUUGGUAUGCUGUACAUCUCUUUGUGCUGGUGUUGAUGUGUUAUGGGGUCAUGGUCACUGCAAGUGUAUCCAAUAUUCACAGGUAUUCCUUUUUUGUAGCCAUGGGCUACCUUACGAUAUGCCACAUCAGCCGCAUUUACAUCUUCCACUAUGGAAUUCUCACUACAGAUUUUUCUGGGCCCCUGAUGAUUGUCACUCAGAAGAUCACGACGUUGGCUUUCCAAGUUCAUGAUGGAUUGGGUCGAAAAGCUGAAGACCUUUCUGCUGAGCAACACCGACUUGCUGUGAAAGCGAAGCCCUCGCUUCUGGAAUACUUAAGCUACCAUCUCAACUUUAUGAGUGUCAUAGCCGGCCCUUGCAACAAUUUCAAGGACUACGUAGCCUUCAUCGAAGGGAGACAUAUACACAUGAAGUUGCUGGAAGUGAACUGGACGCAAAGGGGUUUCCAGAGUUUGCCAGAGCCUUCUCCCAUGGGAGCUGUGAUACAGAAGUUGUGUGUGACCUUGAUGUCUCUCCUGUUGUUUUUGACGCUCUCCAAGUCCUUUCCCGUCACCUUCCUUAUUGAUGACUGGUUUGUACAUAAGGCCAACUUUCUGAGUCGUCUCUGGUACUUAUAUGUCGUCAUGCAAGCCGCAAAGCCCAAGUAUUACUUUGCGUGGACAUUAGGGAUUAAGGGCUGGCUUUGAAUUAAAUGAGCUCCAGAUUUAAGGAGGAAACAAGGCCAUUCGGUGGCCUCGUGGGGAGAGUCUGACACAGCAGAUGCGGUGCACAAUGCAGCUGGAUUCGGGUUCAAUGGCAUGGACACGGAUGGGAAGUCUCGCUGGGAUUUACUAUCUAACCUGAACAUCUGGAAGAUUGAGACUGCCACGAGUUUCAAAAUGUACUUGGAAAACUGGAAUAUUCAGACAUCUACGUGGCUGAAAUGUGUGUGCUAUGAGCGGGUUCCCUGGUACCCCACAGUGCUCACCUUCCUCCUGUCUGCUCUGUGGCACGGCGUCUACCCUGGAUACUACUUCACAUUCCUAACUGGAGUCCCUGUCACAUUGGCAGCCAGAGCGGUGAGGAACAACUACAGACACCACUUCCUCUCUUCCAAAGCUCGAAAGAUUGCCUAUGACGUGGUGACCUGGGCUGUCACUCAGUUGGCUGUCUCUUACACGGCAGCGCCUUUCGUCAUGUUGGCAGUCGAGCCAACCAUCAGUUUAUACAAGUCCGUGUUCUUUUUUUUACACAUCAUAUGUCUGCUGAUAAUCCUCUUUCUGCCAAUCAAACCACACCAGCCUCAAAGGCAGUCUCGGAGUCCAAAUUCUGUAAAGAAGAAGGCAGACUGAUACCCACAGAGAAACGGUGAACAAGAGAGUUGCGGGACAUUGGGAAGACAUAACGGACAGGCUCAAGGGUUCUCCAGUGACUCGGAGGAGAUGUUUACAUGUAUUUUUUUUUUUCCGCUGCAGGGAAUAUUUUUAUGUCUUUUUUUUUUUUUGUACCAUUAAAUCACCAUGUCUAGCUUUGUCUGCAUACUUUACAGGGCCUUUCAGAAACACAGCAUAGACAAGAGGCCACUGGGUAGGCUCUUCUAAAAUCAUUUGCACCUACUGAAAUCUGGAAGCAUGACUCCAGCCGUUGCCUCCGGCACUUAGGAGGUGUCUGCUGAGAUGACUUGUCUGGAGUUUUGAAAUCGGAACAUUCCCAGGCAUGAUUUUUUUUUCCUCUUGGCAACUCCAGACCCUGGGAUAUGCAACUUAGUAGGCUGUGGACACAACUCUUAUGCUCAAAAGCCCUUGGAGGAAAGAGAUUGUGAAGGGAAGUUUUCAGGGUAUAGAAAAAAAAAAGAAAAACCUCCAGGAACUGGGAAGAUUAGCCCCUGAAUGCUUGAAUGGAUCGAUGCGUCCCCAAACCAACUGCAUUAUCACCCCAACUCAGCCAGGAAUGUACCAUUCCCUUUUUUCCUUCUGAAUUGAGCCAAGAUUGGACAUCCGAAAGCUGCCUGCGUGCCCCAGGAGUUGGGGAGAGAGUGGGGGCUACUGGUUUCCAUUUCCCGUGCUUGGAUCUGAUUGACUUCUAUUGACCCUGAGAAGGCACCCGGAUACCAACCAGCACACCGUCCAAAGGCGGCCAAAUGUCUUUUCAAGAAAUAGCUGCAUUCAGCAUGCAGAGGCUCCCUUUUGUCUCUGCAUAUCAAGGAAGUGUCGAUGAUCACGGCCAACGUGUAGACACUAGGUAACGUCUGUAACGGGCUACAGCCAGCUUUAUUUUAGGUGAUCUGUCAUGUCGGAAAGCUGCAGGGGAACAACAGUGCUCUACUCUGUCUUUGUUAUGAAUGUGCUGUGGCUCCUUCGGGGAAUUUCUACUGGAUAAAAUAGUCUAUGUGAAAGAAGGAAACAUAAUAUUUAAAAUGUGGACGAUAAUAAUAAUGAUGAUGAUAAUAAUAAUAAUAAAAUAUGCGCUUCAAUGAUGUGCCUCAAUCAAAUGGCCUGAAAGGUGAAAAUUUGUUCUGAACAGAUGAUUUUUAAAAAAUUAGUUUCUCACUGAAUAAAUAAUAUAUUUCUAUUUUAA